ACCAUGCAGUCGACGGGCGUAGCAUACGUCAGUGGCAGACGGGUGAGUAUCGCGUGUGACGUACCUUUUGGUUCGGAACAACACAGGGAAACUUGUGCUAAUACCGAAUAAGCCCUUACGGGGAAAGAUUUAUCGCCGAGAGAUCGGCCCGCGUCUGAUUAGCUUGUUGGUGAGGUAACGGCUCACCAAGGCGACGAUCAGUAGCUGGUCUGAGAGGACGAUCAGCCACACUGGGACUGAGACACGGCCCAGACUCCUACGGGAGGCAGCAGUGGGGAAUUUUGGACAAUGGGCGAAAGCCUGAUCCAGCCAUGCCGCGUGAGUGAAGAAGGCCUUCGGGUUGUAAAGCUCUUUUAGUUGGAAAGAAAAGAAUUAUGGUUAAUAACUAUAAUUUAUGACGGGUACCCACCAG
rnacentral:rRNA from 1 species